rnacentral:rRNA from 1 species
GCUCAGGAUGAACGCUGGCGGCGUGCUUAACACAUGCAAGUCGAACGAAGCACCUCUCCCGAAGAUUGACACAGCUUGCUGUAGAUUGAUUCAUUUGAGGUGACUGAGUGGCGGACGGGUGAGUAACGCGUGGGUAACCUGCCUCAUAGAGGGGGACAACAGUUGGAAACGACUGCUAAUACCGCAUAGUAAGAAAGAUUCGCAUGUUUCUUUCUUGAAAGAUUUAUCGCUAUGAGAUGGACCCGCGUCUGAUUAGCUAGUUGGUAAGGUAACGGCUUACCAAGGCGACGAUCAGUAGCCGGCUUGAGAGAGUGAACGGCCACAUUGGGACUGAGACACGGCCCAAACUCCUACGGGAGGCAGCAGUA